GACGAACGCUGGCGGCGUGCCUAAUACAUGCAAGUUGAGCGCUGAAGGUUGGUACUUGUACCAACUGGAUGAGCAGCGAACGGGUGAGUAACGCGUGGGGAAUCUGCCUUUGAGCGGGGGACAACAUUUGGAAACGAAUGCUAAUACCGCAUAAAAACUUUAAACACAAGUUUUAAGUUUGAAAGAUGCAAUUGCAUCACUCAAAGAUGAUCCCGCGUUGUAUUAGCUAGUUGGUGAGGUAAAGGCUCACCAAGGCGAUGAUACAUAGCCGACCUGAGAGGGUGAUCGGCCACAUUGGGACUGAGACACGGCCCAAACUCCUACGGGAGGCAGCAGUAGGGAAUCUUCGGCAAUGGACGAAAGUCUGAACGAGCAACGCCGCGUGAGUGAAGAAGGUUUUCGGAUCGUAAAACUCGGUUGGUAGAGAAGAAAGUUGGUGAGAGUGGAAAGCUCAUCAAGUGACGGUAACUACCCAGAAAGGGACGGCUAACUACGUG
rnacentral:rRNA from 1 species